rnacentral:rRNA from 1 species
GACGAACGCUGGCGGCGUGCUUAACACAUGCAAGUCGAACGGAAAGGCCCUGCUUUUGUGGGGUGCUCGAGUGGCGAACGGGUGUGUAACACGUGAGUAACCUGCCCUUGACUUUGGGAUAACUUCAGGAAACUGGGGCUAAUACCGGAUAUGAGCUCCUGCUGCAUGGUGGGGGUUGGAAAGUUUCGGCGGUUGGGGAUGGAUUCGCGGCUUAUCAGCUUGUUGGUGGGGUAGUGGCUUACCAAGGCUUUGACGGCUAGCCGGCCUGGGAGGGUGACCGGCCACAUUGGGACUGAGAUACGGCCCAGACUCCUACGGGAGGCAGCAGUGGGGAAUAUUGCACAAUGGGCGGAAGCCUGAUGCAGCAACGCCGCGUGCGGGAUGACGGCCUUCGGGUUGUAAACCGCUUUCGCCUGUGACGAAGCGUGAGUGACGGUAAUGGGUAAAGAAGCACCGGCUAACUACGUG